UAGGGAAUCUUCGGCAAUGGACGGAAGUCUGACCGAGCAACGCCGCGUGAGUGAAGAAGGUUUUCGGAUCGUAAAGCUCUUUUGUUAGAGAAGAACGUUGGUAGGAGUGGAAAAUCUACCAAGUGACGGUAACUAACCAGAAAGGGACGGCUAACUACGUGCCAGCAGCCGCGGUAAUACGUAGGUCCCGAGCGUUGUCCGGAUUUAUUGGGCGUAAAGCGAGCGCAGGCGGUUCUUUAAGUCUGAAGUUAAAGGCAGUGGCUUAACCAUUGUACGCUUUGGAAACUGGAGAACUUGAGUGCAGAAGGGGAGAGUGGAAUUCCAUGUGUAGCGGUGAAAUGCGUAGAUAUAUGGAGGAACACCGGUGGCGAAAGCGGCUCUCUGGUCUGUAACUGACGCUGAGGCUCGAAAGCGUGGGAGCAAACAGG
rnacentral:rRNA from 1 species